rnacentral:rRNA from 1 species
ACUUCUUUAUCACCGAGUGCUUGCACUCACCGAUAAAGAGUUGAGUGGCGAACGGGUGAGUAACACGUGGGCAACCUGCCCAAAAGAGGGGGAUACCACUUGGAAACAGGUGCUAAUACCGCAUAACCAUAGUUACCGCAUGGUAACUAUGUAAAAGGUGGCUAUGCUACCGCUUUUGGAUGGGCCCGCGACGCAUUAGCUAGUUGGUGGGGUAAAGGCUUACCAAGGCAAUGAUGCGUAGCCGAACUGAGAGGUUGAUCGGCCACAUUGGGACUGAGACACGGCCCAAACUCCUACGGGAGGCAGCAGUAGGGAAUCUUCCACAAUGGGCGAAAGCCUGAUGGAGCAACGCCGCGUGGGUGAAGAAGGUCUUCGGAUCGUAAAACCCUGUUGUUAGAGAAGAAAGUGCGUGAGAGUAACUGUUCACGUUUCGACGGUAUCUAACCAGAAAGCCACGGCUAACUACGUGCCAGCAGCCGCGGUAAUACGUAGGUGGCAAGCGUUAUCCGGAUUUAUUGGGCGUAAAGAGAACGCAGGCGGUCUUUUAAGUCUGAUGUGAAAGCCUUCGGCUUAACCGGAGUAGUGCAUUGGAAACUGGGAGACUUGAGUGCAGAAGAGGAGAGUGGAACUCCAUGUGUAGCGGUGAAAUGCGUAGAUAUAUGGAAGAACACCAGUGGCGAAAGCGGCUCUCUGGUCUGUAACUGACGCUGAGGUUCGAAAGCGUGGGUAGCAAACAG